AACCAGGAUGUUGGCUUAGAAGCAGCCACUCAUUCAAAGAGUGCGUAAUAGCUCACUGGUCGAGUGAUCCUGCGCCGAAGAUUUCCGGGGCUAAAACUUACUACCGAAGCUACGGCAUCAGUAAUGAUGGGUAGGGGAGCUUCCCAUACGGGUUGAAGCAUGACCGUAAGGACAUGUGGACAGUAUGGGAGUGAGAAUGUUGGCAUGAGUAGCGAGAUGUGGGUGAGAAUCCCACAGGCCGUAAACCCAAGGUUUCCAGGGGAAGGUUCGUCCGCCCUGGGUUAGUCGGGACCUAAGCUGAGGCCGAAAGGCGUAGGUGAUGGACAACAGGUUGAUAUUCCUGUACUACCGAU
rnacentral:rRNA from 1 species